rnacentral:rRNA from 1 species
GAUGAACGCUGGCGGCGUGCCUAAUACAUGCAAGUCGAGCGAACAGACGAGGAGCUUGCUCCUCUGACGUUAGCGGCGGACGGGUGAGUAACACGUGGAUAACCUACCUAUAAGACUGGGAUAACUUCGGGAAACCGGCGCUAAUACCGGAUAAUAUAUUGAACCGCAUGGUUCAAUAGUGAAAGACGGUUUUGCUGUCCCUUAUAGAUGGAUCCGCGCCGCAUUAGCUAGUUGGUAAGGUAACGGCUUACCAAGGCAACGAUGCGUAGCCGACCUGAGAGGGUGAUCGGCCACACUGGAACUGAGACACGGUCCAGACUCCUACGGGAGGCAGCAGUAGGGAAUCUUCCGCAAUGGGCGAAAGCCUGACGGAGCAACGCCGCGUGAGUGAUGAAGGUCUUCGGAUCGUAAAACUCUGUUAUUAGGGAAGAACAAAUGUGUAAGUAACUAUGCACGUCUUGACGGUACCUAAUCAGAAAGCCACGGCUAACUACGUG